rnacentral:lncRNA from 1 species
UGAAUUCAUCUUAUUUGAGUUUUAAGUUGGUGACUUUAUUUUAUCACUACAAGUAGAUGGAUCCGGAUCAAAUUUAUAAUCAGGUCAAUUUUUUCCACCAUUAAGGUUUAAUUACCUGACCCGAAAAAGAUACGUGCCUCAAAAGGAGUUACAGCUCAAUUUUGCGAAUGAAAGACAGGUAGAAACAUAUUUUGACUAUUUGACUCACUGGUUUUAAUGUACCUAGAAACCUCUGUAUCUACAGAGAUUUUGUCUUGUAAAUGCUUAUUCAUGUGUCUCGAGAUAGCAUUUCGGAAUAAAUUCAUCUUUCUUCUUACAAAAAAGUCUUAAAUAUUAGAACUAGAAUAUAAGCAAUGCUAGAUAUACAAAAAGUUACACUGAUGUUAAUAUAAACUAAAUUAAUAAUUGACGCAGACAAAGGUUUUUGGUUAAUUUAAUUCUAGAAGAAUGUCCACCUAAGCUACUAUGUUGGUUUGGUAUGAAUUUAUAUAUACUUGUAAGUUUUGCAUUAUUUUUGUGAUAAUGAUCACAAUGGGUUGUGACACCAAAUCCAACAACCAUAGCGUGUAACUCAUAAAUAAGAUCUACGAAAUUGACAAGCAAACAUUAUUACAUAGAUAUACUUAUCUGUCUAGGAUUCAAGGAAACAAAUAAAGGUGGCUUAUGACGGUUAGGUCCAUUCAUAGCAAAAUUCAAGAUUUAAAUUAUCGAGACAGACAUUAUUUUUUUUUUUUUAAAAAGAAAAAGAAUAGAAAAGGCAGAAGUGGAAAGAUAACCCUGUCGCUUAUACUAUAGAAUCAAACACUCAUUCCUGAAAGGCUUUUAUUCUGCUGUCCCUAUAUCAGAUUAACCUAAUAAUAAUGGACUAGUUACAGGAGGGAUAGCUCUAAGAAACUUAAGUAAAAUAAACAGAUAAAAGAUUACAAACCUAGAAGAGAAGGCGCUCGCAUCAUCUUGCAUUCUGUUAUCCUGAUGAAGAAGCCUGCCUGAAAUUUUCCAAUGUGUUGUCUGCUUACCUCCUUGGUAAAAUUCUUGAAAUUAACGGAUGACAAGAAAGUAAACUUCUAUCUUGAGAAUAGUGAUUAGCAGAGAGCAAAAGAUUAUAAUCCAAUAGGUGCUAGUGCCAUCCAAUUUUUAAUCCUUUGAAACCCGAACAACUAAGCCACUGGGUGUCUGAAAAGUUUUGAGUUUACCAGAUCCAAUAAGGUCNNN